CUCUCUCAAUUUGAACGAAGAAGCCUAGUUUCCAUUUUCCAGUUCCAACAAACUACAGAAGAGGAUGUGCAGCCAAUGAGUAUGGAUGCAUCCGUCGGGAACGUGUCAAAGACGGACCAAGCCUUUGAAAGCAUUUUUGAGAUUUUGGAUACCAUGACUGCAAAUCUCGACCAAAAGAGUUAUCAAGAACUGCUGGACUUAAAGAGCGCGUUUGAGACUUUACUGAGUAAAGUGACGGAAGCGCGGGAGAAAUUUGACCAACCCUAAAAUAUGUUGUCUGCUUUUUUAACCAACACUAACUCUGUUGUUAGUGUUCAUUGGGGUAGAAAUUAAAUUAAAUGCUGUGGUGGAUUCUGACCUAGAGAGAGAGAGAGUUGUGUGGAUUUUUAAAAAGUUAUGUUCGUUGUUUCAAUUUGAACUCUUUCUGCUCUUCUCUUUAAGUAUAAAAAGGUAAGUUUUUUGAGUAAACUGAUGAUGAUGAUAUACAUUGUCAUGUCUUUGAGAAUCUUGCCGCAAAUGAGUCAACUUUGUUUACACGAGUUACUUCAAAGUUCAAACCAUCUUACGUUGUUAUAUUAGAUUGUACAAGAAACUAAAACUAAAUGUUUCUGUAUUUGUGGCUUGUCUGAAGAACAGAGCAACUAAAGAUUUUUUCAGGUUGCAGAUUUUACUUGUACCAACCAGCAAGAAAG